UACCAGCUCUCCGAGUUGUAGGGAUGAUUAUUGGGCUUAAAGCGUCCGUAGCUGGCUUAGCAAGUCUCCUGUUAAAUUCAGCGACCUAAUCGUUGAGCCGCGGGAGAUACUACUAGGCUAGGAGGCGGGAGAGGUCGACGGUACUUUCGGGGUAGGGGUGAAAUCCUAUAAUCCCGGGAGGACCACCAGUGGCGAAGGCUGUCGACUAGAACGCGCUCGACGGUGAGGGACGAAAGCUGGGGGAGCGAACCGGAUUAGAUACCUGGGUAGUCCCAGCUGUAAACUAUGCGGGCUAGGUGUUGGGGUGGCUACGGGCCACUUCAGUGCCGCAGGAAAGCCAUUAAGCCCGCCGCCUGGGGAGUACGGCCGCAAGGCUGAAACUUAAAGGAAUUGGCGGGGGAGCACCACAAGGCGUGAAGCUUGCGGUUC
rnacentral:rRNA from 1 species